GUGAUUCUCUCUGGUCUCCACUUUCAACAGGACUGGGCAGCACAUAUACUAAAAUUGGAAUGAUACAGAGAUUAGCAUGGCCCCUGUGCAAGGAUGACAUACAAAUUCAUGAGCCGUUCAUUUUUUAG
rnacentral:snRNA from 1 species